UAAUAGUGUAUAUUAAAGUUGUUGCAGUUAAAAAGCUCGUAGUUGAAUGUUGGUGUCGAACGAGCGGUCAGCUUCGGCUGCACUGCUCUCUCGACUCCUUCCUUCUGUGGACUACGUCGCACUUUACUGUGUGGCGCUAGGACGCAGAUCGUUUACUGUGAAAAAAUUAGAGUGUUCAAAGCAGGCCGUACGCUUGAAUACAUUAGCAUGGAAUAAUGGAAUAGGACGUCGGGCCUAUUUUGUUGGUUCUAGGACCGUCGUAAUGAUUAAUAGGGACAGUUGGGGCCGUUUAUAUUCCGUAGUCAGAGGUGAAAUUCUUGGAUUUACGGAAGAUAAACUACUGCGAAAGCAUUCGGCAAGGAUGUUUUCGUUAA
rnacentral:rRNA from 1 species